rnacentral:rRNA from 1 species
UGAUCCUCGGCUCGAGAGAAGCUUGCUCCCGGACAGCAAGCGGCGGACGGGUGAGUAACACGUGGGUAACCUGCCUGUAAGACUGGGAUAACUCCGGGAAACCGGGGCUAAUACCGGAUGGUUGUUUGAACCGCAUGGUUCAGACAUAAAAGGUGGCUUCGGCUACCACUUACAGAUGGACCCGCGGCGCAUUAGCUAGUUGGUGAGGUAACGGCUCACCAAGGCGACGAUGCGUAGCCGACCUGAGAGGGUGAUCGGCCACACUGGGACUGAGACACGGCCCAGACUCCUACGGGAGGCAGCAGUAGGGAUCUUCCGCAAUGGACGAAAGUCUGACGGAGCACGCCGCGUGAGUGAUGAGGUUUCGGAUCGUAAGCUCUGUUGUAGGGAAGAACAGUGCGUCAAUAGGCGGCACCUUGACGGUACUAACAGAAGCCCGCUACUACGUGCAGCGCCGGGUAAUA